AUUGAACGCUGGCGGCAGGCCUAACACAUGCAAGUCGAGCGGAUGAAGGGAGCUUGCUCCUGGAUUCAGCGGCGGACGGGUGAGUAAUGCCUAGGAAUCUGCCUGGUAGUGGGGGAUAACGUCCGGAAACGGGCGCUAAUACCGCAUACGUCCUGAGGGAGAAAGUGGGGGAUCUUCGGACCUCACGCUAUCAGAUGAGCCUAGGUCGGAUUAGCUAGUUGGUGGGGUAAAGGCCUACCAAGGCGACGAUCCGUAACUGGUCUGAGAGGAUGAUCAGUCACACUGGAACUGAGACACGGUCCAGACUCCUACGGGAGGCAGCAGUGGGGAAUAUUGGACAAUGGGCGAAAGCCUGAUCCAGCCAUGCCGCGUGUGUGAAGAAGGUCUUCGGAUUGUAAAGCACUUUAAGUUGGGAGGAAAGGCAGUAAGUUAAUACCUUGCUGUUUUGACGUUACCAACAGAAUAAGCACCGGCUAACUUCGUG
rnacentral:rRNA from 1 species